AACACAUGCAAGUCGAGCGAGAAGCUUAUGAAGAAACCUUCGGGUGACUGAAUAAGUGGAAAGCGGCGGACGGGUGAGUAACGCGUGGGUAACCUGCCCCAUACAAAGGGAUAGCCACUGGAAACGGUGAUUAAUACCAUAUGAGAUCGUAGAGUCGCAUGACUUAGCGGUUAAAGAUUUAUCGGUAUGGGAUGGACCCGCGUCUGAUUAGCUAGUUGGUAAGGUAACGGCUUACCAAGGCGACGAUCAGUAGCCGACCUGAGAGGGUGAUCGGCCACACUGGAACUGAGACACGGUCCAGACUCCUACGGGAGGCAGCAGUGGGGAAUAUUGCACAAUGGGCGCAAGCCUGAUGCAGCAACGCCGCGUGAGCGAUGAAGGCCUUCGGGUCGUAAAGCUCUGUCCUCAAGGAAGAAUAAAUGACGGUACUUGAGGAGGAAGCCCCGGCUAACUACGUGCCAGCAGCCGCGGUAAUACGUAGGGGGCAAGCGUUAUCCGGAAUCACUGGGCGUAAAGGGUGCGUAGGCGGUUUUUCAAGUCAGAAGUGAAAGGCUAUGGCUCAACCAUAGUAAGCUUUUGAAACUGU
rnacentral:rRNA from 1 species